UACGAAGGGGGCUAGCGUUGCUCGGAAUCACUGGGCGUAAAGCGCACGUAGGCGGCUUGUUAAGUCAGGGGUGAAAUCCUGGAGCUCAACUCCAGAACUGCCUUUGAUACUGGCGAGCUUGAGUUCGGGAGAGGUGAGUGGAACUGCGAGUGUAGAGGUGAAAUUCGUAGAUAUUCGCAAGAACACCAGUGACGAAGGCGGCUCACUGGCCCGAUACUGACGCUGAGGUGCGAAAGCGUGGGGAGCAAACAGG
rnacentral:rRNA from 1 species